GCCGACGUAGCUCAACUGGCAGAGCACUUGUCUUGUAAACAAGAGGUCAGGGGUUCGAGCCCCCUCGUCGGCUCCA
rnacentral:tRNA from 3 species